UACGUAGGGUGCAAGCGUUGUCCGGAAUUAUUGGGCGUAAAGAGCUCGUAGGCGGUCUGUUGCGUCGGCUGUGAAAACCCAGGGCUCAACUCCGGGCCUGCAGCCGAUACGGGCAGACUAGAGUUCGGCAGGGGAGACUGGAAUUCCUGGUGUAGCGGUGAAAUGCGCAGAUAUCAGGAGGAACACCGGUGGCGAAGGCGGGUCUCUGGGCCGAUACUGACGCUGAGGAGCGAAAGCGUGGGGAGCGAACAGG
rnacentral:rRNA from 1 species